GAUGAACGCUGGCGGCGUGCCUAAUACAUGCAAGUCGAGCGAACGGACGAGAAGCUUGCUUCUCUGAUGUUAGCGGCGGACGGGUGAGUAACACGUGGAUAACCUACCUAUAAGACUGGGAUAACUUCGGGAAACCGGAGCUAAUACCGGAUAAUAUAUUGAACCGCAUGGUUCAAUAGUGAAAGACGGUCUUGCUGUCACUUAUAGAUGGAUCCGCGCUGCAUUAGCUAGUUGGUAAGGUAACGGCUUACCAAGGCAACGAUGCGUAGCCGACCUGAGAGGGUGAUCGGCCACACUGGAACUGAGACACGGUCCAGACUCCUACGGGAGGCAGCAGUAGGGAAUCUUCCGCAAUGGGCGAAAGCCUGACGGAGCAACGCCGCGUGAGUGAUGAAGGUCUUCGGAUCGUAAAACUCUGUUAUUAGGGAAGAACAUAUGUGUAAGUAACUGUGCACAUCUUGACGGUACCUAAUCAGAAAGCCACGGCUAACUACGUG
rnacentral:rRNA from 1 species